CAUCUAUGAUGAUCCUAUCCCGAACCUGAAUUCUUUGCUGAAAAACCUACUACGGAUCCGGCAUCUGAGAU
rnacentral:snoRNA from 7 species